ensembl:lncRNA
GGGGUGGUGGCCUUGAGGGGCGGGACACUCACGAGGGCAUCUCCCACAGAGAUGCACAGUCCGCCCUGGAAAUGCCUCAGGCUUUCAGAAGGAGCGGCUGCCCAAGGCCUCCAGGCUGCCAGGCUGGAGGGCUGCAGAAGAGGCCAGACCCCAGGGAGGGUGGUCUAAGCACCCCGCUCGCUCAGGCCUGCAGGAAGACACAGCCCGGUCCAGAUGGGCCCCUGGAGACCUUCCAGGGCAACCCGCGGGGCUGUUCACGAACCUGAAGCCCGGAGAGGAUGCCCCGGCUGCCCCAGGGGCCUGUCCGGGCGCUGGCCAGCCACUCCCCUAACGAUCCUCUAAGUAAUCGGUAAAAAAUAAAGGUGGCCCCAAUCACCGCCUCCCCCCGGAGGAACCUGGUGCUCCCCAAGGUUUUCUUUGGCCAAUCACUCUGACUCAGGGUCCUUCCUGGCAGUGCACGCUUUACUCAGCCGAGAUGGAUGCCAGUGAGAAGGAUUCUGGGAGGCAGUAGGACAUGCGGUGUCUCUUUUUUGACCUUUAUUGAACUCUUCCAGUUGUUGCUGUUGUUCAUUUGGGUGACGAACAAGGGAGCUGUAGAGAGAGUCUCUGAAAGUUGUUCCCGCUGUCUGAGAGACACGAGGAGGAUGGAUUUUCAAAGGAUGGAGCAGAGCCCAGGGCUGCGUCCUUUGAAGCCAGGGCUCCUGAACAUGCCGUGCCGGUGUUACUGGUUCUUAGCAGCUGACUCGCAUACUGACAUGUCUUUGGGCUGGAUGCUGGAACACUGACACCUCUUUGGGCCAGAUGCUGGGAUAGACCCCCAAAGGGCAUGACCCCC